rnacentral:rRNA from 1 species
CAGCAGCCGCGGUAAUACGUAGGGUGCAAGCGUUAAUCGGAAUUACUGGGCGUAAAGCGUGCGCAGGCGGUUCGGAAAGAAAGAUGUGAAAUCCCAGAGCUUAACUUUGGAACUGAAUUUUUAACUACCGGGCUAGAGUGUGUCAGAGGGAGGUGGAAUUCCGCGUGUAGCAGUGAAAUGCGUAGAUAUGCGGAGGAACACCGAUGGCGAAGGCAGCCUCCUGGGAUAACACUGACGCUCAUGCACGAAAGCGUGGGGAGCAAACAGGAUUAGAUACCCCAGUAGUCCCUGUCUCUUAUAC